rnacentral:rRNA from 1 species
CUUAGGGAUUAGAUACCCUAUUAUUAAAAAUGUAAAAUUUAAAUACUAAAUUAGUAUUAGUUAUGUUCUUGAAAAUUAAAGAUUCUGGCGGUAUUUUAGUCUAUUCAGAGGAACCUGUUCUGUAAUUGAUAGUCCACGAUUUAAUUUACUUUUUUUAAAAAUUUAUAUAUCGUCGUAAUUUGAAUAUUUUAAAAGAAUAUUUAAUAUUCAUUGUAUUUUUAAAAUAGUAAAUCAGAUCAAGGUAUAGUUUAUAAAAAAGGAGAAAUGGGUUACAAUAAAUUUAUUUAAGGAUUAUUUUUUGUAAUGAUUAUAUUAAUUUGGAUUUGAUAGUAAUUUAAUUUAGAUUAUUUAAAUGAUUGAAGCUCUAAAAUAUGUACAUA